GGACAAGGCAGACCAGAUGAGCGUGCUGAAAUUGCCCCCACGUUGUGCUGGCCAGCUGCAGUUAGCUUGGGUCGGAGCAGGAGCCUGGAGAGUUGUGAAUGUCAGUCUUCCAUUUUGUGAAUCAUCUUCACCACUUCUGGAUCUGCCUCAGCUGUCAGCUGUCCAAGUCAGAGACAAAUGGGAACAGCUGCUGGCAUACCAAAGUGUGGCACUGAAGGAGGCAGUCUGCAGGCGUAGCCGGGGUGGCAAGAACAUGGUCUGCCAAGGAACUUCUUCUGGAUACGUCAUAAAGCAGGAAAAGGAUGCUGUUCUUGAUAUUGUCAGUGGAGAAGUCCAGUCUGGGGCCAAAACCACAAAAGUGAAGCCUUACAAAACCAGAAAACCAAGCAGAAAGAUCUUCAGCUGAUAAUGCCCUCUUUCCUCAGUAUGCAGACAGCAUUUUCCUUGAUAGAUGAAUGCAUUCCUGUGGAAAAGACUCCACCAUUCUGCUGACAUCUGAUGCUUGACAGGCUCUGGACAGAUGGAAAAAAUUGAGGAAUCAAACCAGAACAAGUUGCACUGGGACUAUUAUGUGCAAAGAAGCAAGCUCUGCACUGAGAAGGUAACAAAGGAGCAGGCCAAAUACUAGAAGGUAUUUUCUUCCGAGAGCUGAUGCAACCAUGCCAGAGCCUUGCACGAGGAAAUGAGGAGCUGUGGGUGUGCUUUUCAUGGGCCACGAGAGGAGGUGAAGCAACCUGCUUUGAAGAGUGGAAAGGAGCGCUUUGCCUAGUUUGGAAGACUGGUGACAUGAAAGGUAGAUACUUCUGGGCUGUCAGAGGAAGGAAGCUCAGUUAUUUCAGAGCGUGCGCCCUCAGUGAACUGCUGUACAAACAACCCAUCUGGAGCUUGAUCCUGGAUUGAACCUGCUCUGUAACCCAAGGAAACUAAAAGGCUUUUUUGGAUGCCCUUGGAAAUUUCCUGAGCUUGACACACCUCUUCACAACACAACAGGUAACUAGUCCAGUCCUGCCUGGUCUUACGUACAUUGCAGCAGAGCUGAGGAAGUGGCACAAUGCCCAGGAUGCUAUGGCAGUUUCUAAAACUGAUCAAAAUAGUCCCAAAAUAUCCUCAGGGCUGUUCAGGGUAAGAUGGUCUCAAAGUUCAGAGAAUGAUAGAAAUGUCUA
rnacentral:lncRNA from 1 species